rnacentral:tRNA from 1 species
GGGUUGGUAGUUCAGUUGGUUAGAAUGCCGCCCUGUCACGGCGGAGGUCGCGGGUUCGAGUCCCGUCCAGCCCG